rnacentral:rRNA from 1 species
CAGUAGCCGCGGUAAUACGUAGGUGGCAAGCGUUGUCCAGAAUUAUUGGGCGUAAAGGGCUCGCAGGCGGUUUCUUAAGUCUGAUGUGAAAGCCCCCGGCUCAACCGGGGAGGGUCAUUGGAAACUGGGAAACUUGAGUGCAGAAGAGGAGAGUGGAAUUCCACGUGUAGCGGUGAAAUGCGUAGAGAUGUGGAGGAACACCAGUGGCGAAGGCGACUCUCUGGUCUGUAACUGACGCUGAGGAGCGAAAGCGUGGGGAGCGAACAGGAUUAGAUACCCGCGUAGUCCCUGUCUCUUAUAC